AUGGCUACGAACACCUUGGCAACCCAGCACAAUAAAUGUAGACGAACCAUUAUACAGGACGUUACCUGCAUCAUAUGUGGAAACAGAGAGGAAAACGAGCACCAUGUUGUGGUUGACUGCACCAAAAGUAGAGCUCUCAGGCAGGCCAUGAGGGAGCACUGGAAUCUGCCGCCUGAAAAGGCCUUCCGUGACACUGAUUGUGACUGGCUGCGGGUCUUACUUGAUAGAGUGACGGAGGAUAUCCGUGCAAAAAUCCUCCUACUGCUCUGGAGAUGCUGGUACCUACAUGAUAAUUGUGUCCAUGCAGGGGGACAG
rnacentral:rRNA from 1 species